rnacentral:rRNA from 1 species
GACGAACGCUGGCGGCGUGCUUAACACAUGCAAGUCGAACGGAAAGGCCCUGCUUUUGUGGGGUGCUCGAGUGGCGAACGGGUGAGUAACACGUGAGUAACCUGCCCUUGACUUUGGGAUAACUUCAGGAAACUGGGGCUAAUACCGGAUAGGAGCUCCUGCUGCAUGGUGGGGGUUGGAAAGUUUCGGCGGUUGGGGAUGGACUCGCGGCUUAUCAGCUUGUUGGUGGGGUAGUGGCUUACCAAGGCUUUGACGGGUAGCCGGCCUGAGAGGGUGACCGGCCACAUUGGGACUGGGAUACGGCCCAGACUCCUACGGGGGGCAGCGGUGGGGAAUAUUGCACAAUGGGCGGAGGCCUGAUGCAGCAACGCCGCGUGCGGGAUGACGGCCUUCGGGUGGUAAACCGCUUUCGCCUGUGACGAAGCGUGAGUGACGGUAAUGGGUAAAGAAGCACCGGCUAACUACGU